GCUGGUCAAAAGGAACCAGAUCGCCUCUCCACCUGAUUUGGUCCCCUUCAACCGGCUG
rnacentral:pre_miRNA from 1 species